rnacentral:rRNA from 1 species
UACGUAGGGUGCAAGCGUUGUUCGGAAUCAUUGGGCGUAAAGCGCGUGUAGGUGGUUAGGUAAGUCAGAUGUGAAAUCCCUGGGCUCAACCGAGGAAGUGCAUUUGAAACUGCCUAGCUAGAGGACGGUAGAGGAAGGUGGAAUUCCUAGUGUAGAGGUGAAAUUCGUAGAUAUUAGGAGGAAUACCGGUGGCGAAGGCGGCCUUCUGGGCCGUUCCUGACACUGAGACGCGAAAGCGUGGGUAGCAAACAGG